GCUGCUCCUCGACACUCCAUAAGGAAAGAACUCAUUUGAGGAUCUUGCAGACCAAGAAAUCUUUUGUGGAAUUUUCUGCAAUUCCUCAUUUCACGCCAGACCCUGAUUCUAGAGGCUGCCUGCGUUCCAUGUCUUGUGGCUCCCUUCCAACUUCAAAGCCAGCAAUGAACGUCCAUGAAUAUUUCAUUGGGAUAGGCAUUUGGGAACUUGCAGAAUGUCCACAUUGGUCACCUGAGCUGGCAG